AACGAACGCUGGCGGCAUGCCUAACACAUGCAAGUCGAACGAGACCUUCGGGUCUAGUGGCGCACGGGUGCGUAACGCGUGGGAAUCUGCCCUUCGGUUGGGAAUAACUGAGAGAAAUUUCAGCUAAUACCUUAUAAUGUCUUCGGACCAAAGAUUUAUCGCCGAGGGAUGAGCCCGCGUAGGAUUAGGUAGUUGGUGGGGUAAUGGCCUACCAAGCCGACGAUCCUUAGCUGGUCUGAGAGGAUGAUCGGCCACACUGGGACUGAGACACGGCCCAGACUCCUACGGGAGGCAGCAGUGGGGAAUAUUGGACAAUGGGCGAAAGCCUGAUCCAGCAAUGCCGCGUGAGUGAUGAAGGCCUUAGGGUUGUAAAGCUCUUUUACCCGGGAUGAUAAUGACAGUACCGGGAGAAUAAGCUCCGGCUAACUCCGUG
rnacentral:rRNA from 1 species